UAAGGAAUAUUGGUCAAUGGACGCAAGUCUGAACCAGCCAUGCCGCGUGAAGGAUUAAGGCCCUCUGGGUUGUAAACUUCUUUUAUAGGGGAAGAAAUGUGACGGUUCUCCGCCACUUGACGGUACCCUGGGAAUAAGCACCGGCUAACUCCGUGCCAGCAGCCGCGGUAAUACGGAGGGUGCAAGCGUUAUCCGGAUUCACUGGGUUUAAAGGGUGCGUAGGUGGGCAGAUAAGUCAGUGGUGAAAUCUUCCGGCUUAACCGGGAAACUGCCGUUGAUACUAUUUGUCUUGCAUAUUGCGGAGGUAAGCGGAAUAUGUCAUGUAGCGGUGAAAUGCUUAGAUAUGACAUAGAACACCAAUUGCGAAGGCAGCUUACUACACAAUCAUUGACACUGAGGCACGAAAGCGUGGGUAGCGAACA
rnacentral:rRNA from 1 species